UGUCAACCCAGGACAUGGUGUUUGCGC
rnacentral:piRNA from 1 species